rnacentral:rRNA from 1 species
UACAGAGGGGGCGAGCGUUGUUCGGAAUUACUGGGCGUAAAGGGCGCGUAGGCGGUUUGCUAAGUCAGUUGUGAAAGCCCGGGGCUCAACCCCGGAACUGCCAUUGAAACUGUUUAGCUUGAGGACGAGAGAGGCGAGUGGAAUUCCUGGUGUAGCGGUGAAAUGCGCAGAUAUCAGGAGGAACACCAAUUGCGAAGGCAGCUCGCUGGGACGUAACUGACGCUGAGACGCGAAAGCGUGGGGAGCAAACAGG